UGUUUACAGCAGCGCGGAAGAGGAAAAAAUAUUGUUGCUCGACCGAUUAGACAAUUUCCUCCUCCAGCAAGCGGCUAGCGAUUACAAUUUUUCCGACUCGGUGCCGAUGUGAGAUAACACAGGAUUGCUUUCGUAUACGGAGUAAUAUACUCUUUAUUUAUAAUUAUAAUCACCAAACUUGCAAGAGCUUGAUGCGCAAUUCGAAGCAUUUGAAAUUCUUGGAACAAGACUCGGACUUUGAUUUUCACCUGAGAACAAGACUCAUAUGGAACUCGAUCUGAUCCUUAUUACAAAGAUCUACGGAUCUUAGUUGGCAACUAAUUAGACGCUGUUUUAGCACGUGUUUACUCAUCGGCGAUAGAUCGAGAUGAAUUGGUAGUUUUACGUUUCCGCAAAUUGAACUUUUUGACAAUUUUCGAUGAAAUAAUAUGAGGAAGCACAUCUAUGACUCAAACACACACACACUGAACAGAUGAAAAAACUCAGCAUAUCGGCAAAAACCCAUUUACUGGAGUCAGCUAUUUUUCAAGAGUGCACAGCUAUAGCUCAAGAAGGAAAGUUAUAUUUGAUACGGUACAGCGGUGCCAAUUAUUUUACCAAAACCAAAGAUGGCUCGUAUAUUUGCAAAUAUAAUCAAUUACAAUAACCGUCUGAUCAUAAAAUUA